rnacentral:rRNA from 1 species
UUCGGAUCUAGUGGCGCACGGGUGCGUAACGCGUGGGAAUCUGCCCUUGGGUUCGGAAUAACUUCUGGAAACGGAAGCUAAUACCGGGUGAUGACGUAAGUCCAAAGAUUUAUCGCCCAAGGAUGAGCUCGCGUAGGAUUAGCUAGUUGGUGAGGUAAAGGCUCACCAAGGCGACGAUCCUUAGCUGGUCUGAAGGAUGAUCAGCCACACUGGGACUGAGACACGGCCCAGACUCCCACGGGAGGCAGCAGUAGGGAAUAUUGGACAAUGGGCGAAGCCUGAUCCAGCAAUGCCGCGUGAUGAGAGCUUAGGGUUGUAAAGCUCUUUUACCCGGGAUGAUAAUGACAGUACCGGGAGAAUAAGCUCCGGGCUAACUCCGUGCCAGCAGCCGCGGUAAUACGAGGGAGCUAGCGUUGUUCCGAAAUUACUGGGGCGUAAA